rnacentral:lncRNA from 1 species
ACAACCCAAAUGUUGUUUGCCAUUACUGCAAUCGUGUUGGUCACAUUGCUCCCGUUUGUUUUGCUAAACAUAGGGAUUUAUCUUAUGGUUAUAAUUAUUAUUUGCCUAACCCCAAAGGACCCAAAAAGAUAUGGGUACCAAAAACCUCUCCAUAGGUAUUUUUGCAGGUGUGCUUGAAGACUACAAAAUUGUAGUAGAUGCACCAAGCACGACACCAAAAUGCAUCAAAGGGAAUUUCGGUUAUAUGGGUACCAAAAACCUCUCCGUAGGUAUUUUUGCAGGUGUGCUUGAAGACUACAAAAUUGUAGUAGAUGCGCCAAGCACGACACCCUAAAGGCAUCGAGAGGAAUUUC